rnacentral:rRNA from 1 species
CCUACGGGAGGCAGCAGUGAGGAAUAUUGGUCAAUGGCCGGAAGGCUGAACCAGCCAUGCCGCGUGAAGGUCAGUGCCCUAUGGGCGUUAAACUUCUUUUGUGCGGGAGCAAUAAUGGUCACGUGUGGCCAGACGAGAGUACCGUACGAAUAAGCAUCGGCUAACUCCGUGCCAGCAGCCGCGGUAAUACGGGGGAUGCAAGCGUUAUCCGGAUGUAUUGGGUUUAAAGGGUGCGUAGGCUGUGAGGUAAGUCAGCGGUGAAAUGCCCCCGCUCAACGGGGUGAAGUGCCAUUGAUACUGCCUGGCUGGAAUGCGGAUGCCGUGGGAGGAAUGUGUGGUGUAGCGGUGAAAUGCAUAGAUAUCACACAGAACACCGAUUGCGAAGGCAUCUCACGAAUCCGCGAUUGACGCUGAUGCACGAAAGCGUGGGUAUCAAACAGGAUUAGAUACCCGAGUAGUC